AUUGUGACAUGUUAAACAAAAACGCCCGGCAGGUGUACGCUGCCG
rnacentral:ncRNA from 28 species